UCCUUAAUGUGCCAUCUGUUCAUGGACAUGCUGAUGGGUGCACAGGGAACACUUUGUCACAACAAAAGCAAGAGCAUAAUCAGCCAUUUGUCCUAUUUUUUGUCUCUUGCUCAUUUGAACUUCUCAUUCUUUUCCUUUGUAUCCUCCGGUAUUCUCGUUUAGAUUUCUGACUCAAUUAUAAUAAUUGUUUCUCUCACCUUUAAUGUUUUACACACACUCUCUCUCCCCCUGCUUUUGUCUUUCCAGGAGCAAGACUUGUUUUUUUUCCACGACCUGAGCCCGGGUAGCUGUUUCUUUCUGCCUAAAGGAGCCUACAUCUAUAAUACGCUCAUCGAGUUUAUUAGAAGUGAAUACAGAAAGAGGGGAUUCCAGGAAGUGGUCACACCAAACAUCUACAACA